AGCCCCUUCGUUCAACGGUAGGACGGCGGUCUCCAAAACCGCAGACGGAAGUUCGACACUACCAGGGGCUGCCA
rnacentral:tRNA from 1 species